rnacentral:ncRNA from 1 species
CGCGGCGCGCCGCCCAGCCCGCCGAGGGCCCCCCCCCGGCCCGUCACGCCCGCCGCGCCGGGGAGGUGGAGCACGAGCGCACGUGUUAGGACCCGAAAGAUGGUGAACUAUGCCUGAGCGGGGCGAAGCCAGAGGAAACUCUGGUGGAGGCUCGAAGCGAUACUGACGUGCAAAUCGUUCGUCUGACUUGGGUAUAGGGGCGAAAGACUAAUCGAACCAUCUAGUAGCUGGUUCCC